ensembl:lncRNA
CCUGUUCACCCCGAUGUCAUCCAGAAGGCGAAAGACGAUGAUGUCAUCCUUCAUCAAACAUGUCCAUACAAAGACCAACCAUCCAACCUUCAGGAUAGUCAGACAGGGCAUCUCCAGAAGAAGAUUGAGGGGCUUUACCUCAGUGUGAACCAGAGGAAACACUACCUCUACUGUUUGACAGACGGCAACAAGAGAAGGCAUCAGAUUCUGAGAAAAAUUGUUGAGGACAAGGCAGCCUUGACAGCUGCCAUUGUUCAACUUCCCACACAGUAGGCAGAGUUUAGGCUCCCCACAGUGGAUGAGCUGCUCAAUACUGACAACUUUUUGUGGCCAUGGGAGAGACCUAGCACCACCAUCUUGCCAUCAAAAAGGCAAUCUUCAACAGACUGAUGUUGGUGAACAGACUGCAGGAGGAAGAGAGGGUCCUGGUGCAGGAGAUGAAGAGGCACUGGGGAGCCUACAAAGUACAGGGGGAACUCUGG